rnacentral:rRNA from 1 species
CAGCCUGCCCAGUGACAAAGUUCAACGGCCGCGGUACCCUAACCGUGCGAAGGUAGCAUAAUCACUUGUUCUUUAAAUGAGGACUUGUAUCAACGGCACUACGAGGGCUAUACUGUCUCCUUUUUCUAAUCAGUGAAACUGAUCUCCCCGUGAAGAAGCGGGGAUCAAAAUAUAAGACGAGAAGACCCCAUGGAGCUUUAAACUUACCACCCACCUCUGUGGUACCACACCAUUCAACACAAGAGACCUGCGUGCUAGUUUUAGGUUGGGGGGACCACGGAGUAUAAUUAAACCUCCACAACAAAUGGGCUAAUACCCUUAUCCACGAGACACAACUCUAAGAAUUACUAAACUAAUGCUUAUGACCCGAUAUUCGAUCAACGAACCAAGUUACCCUGGGGAUAACAGCGCAAUCUACUUCAAGAGCCCCUAUCGACAAGUAGGUUUACGACCUCGAUGUUGGAUCAGGGUAUCCCGGUGGUGCAGCCGCUACCGAUGGUUCGUUUGUUCAACGAUUAAAACCCUACGUGAUCUGA